UACCAGCACCCCGAGUGGUCGGGACGUUUAUUGGGCCUAAAGCAUCCGUAGCCGGUUCUACAAGUCUUCCGUUAAAUCCAACUGCUUAACAGGUGGGCUGCGGAAGAUACUAUAGAACUAGGAGGCGGGAGAGGCAAGCGGUACUCGAUGGGUAGGGGUAAAAUCCGUUGAUCCAUUGAAGACCACCAGUGGCGAAGGCGGCUUGCCAGAACGCGCUCGACGGUGAGGGAUGAAAGCUGGGGGAGCAAACCGG
rnacentral:rRNA from 1 species